GGAGAAGCAAAAUGAUGAGUAGUACUGGCUGGAGCCCUAAAGAGGCACGUGUGAGAGUGUGUGUGUGUGUGUAUAUCUGUAUUCUUGUCUGUGCAUGCACAUGUGUGUCUGGGAGUAUGAGUGUGUGACUGAUUGUAGGGAAUUAGCUAUGUGUCUUCUGUUGGGCCAUGACAGUCAAACUGAUAAGAUCUGAUUGCUUC
rnacentral:snoRNA from 1 species